GGUUUUUCUCAAUAUUAUUAUAUUAAAAGGAGAUGAUUUUUUUUUUUAAGAGAGAGAGUCUGUAAAAGUUUUGGACAGGUUUUUAUUUUUUUUUUGGAAAAAAAAUGGAAUUGUGACGCUUUUCUUUCGAACAUUUGCGCGCGAAAUUUGAAUUUUUUCGAAUUUAUAUGAGUAUAUAUAUAUGAUAUAAAUAAUGGAUUGUAAUGGAAUUUCGAAAUUGUUUCAAGUUUGUUUCGAUCGAUUUUAGAAGUUAGAAUGGGAUACACGAUACACAUGGAGAAGCGUUGGCUCAAGGAACGUGACGUCUCGUUUAAAAGUAAAGCAAAGCGCGUCGAUGUAGAAACGUUUUACAAAGUGGUAGAAAGCCACUGUCGUAUUAACGCGAAGUAAUUCAGACAAGGUCGCGAGCACGAUUUAAUACACGAAACGUUAAAUCGUAAUUCGAACGUUACAUUCUACAAUUUAAAUAAUUUCUCUAAAUUCAAUAAAUAUUAUAUUGGAUGCAAUGUUUGUACUAUAAAUUUUUCUUCUCGAGUUUAAUUUAAAAAUUCUUGCAUAACAUUAGCUACGAGCAAAGUCCAUUUCACAAAAGAUAAAUAAAGAAAAAUAAACUCGCGCGAAUAAAUUAUUAAGCAAUUUAAAACGAAGCGAAUUCACACGUUACGCGAUUAGAAUUAAGAGAAAAUCGGACGUCAACUUGUAACGUGAAAAUGGUCAAUAUCGGGUUCGAACGCUGGGCCAUUAGGGCACAACGUCGAAACGGAUAAAUACGUGCUCUGGUAUAAAAACUGUGGAUGAACGGCUUUUUGUUCGUUGAGUGUAGCGUUGGUAAUAUAUAUACCGCGGGUCGAGAAACGCGGUAUCGUUAAAUACGGUCUAAUUUAUUGGGCCAAUAUCUAAAAGUCAAUAUUUGAGCGUUCAGUGGCUUCUGGACGCUACGUUCCAUUGCACACGUGCACGCAUUGUGCGCACGGCCGUUUCGGUGAAUUAUUUUGCUCGAUUGAUUCCAAAUAUUUCGAGCACGUCCGCCCCGAGUAUCAAGUUUCACGCCAAACCUCACCAAGAAUGCGAUCAACCGAUUUAAAUUUCACGGAGAAAAGGAAUUUUCGCGAGAUUGAAUUUGAAAUAUGUCGUCAAAAAAAAUAAAAAAAUAAAAAUAAUCAAUUUAAAUAAUAAUUCUAAUCUAACUUAAACUUAUAAUUUAAUACGAAACCAAGCAUUGAAUGGACAAUUUAUUUCAAGGACGGGGAAAUCAAUGAGGCGGUUUCAAUUCGAGAUAAUUACCGAAGAUAUUAUUAUCGAUCGUAGGUAAUAAAGAGUAAGAGUAUUCUCACAGUUCAUUACUUCGAUCGUUGAUCCCCGUUCAAAUUGUCCGCGAAAUGGGUAAACAAUCGGUUUCACCAUCGGCCAUUUUAUAAUACGACUCUAGUGGCACUCGUUUCACGACUCGAAAAGCGUCCAAUUCUUUUUUCACGAUACUGUAAUAAUCGCGUCUGGCCGGAUCGUAAAAGUUACGAGCUCUCCAUAUAAUUCUCGGUGAAUUUUAUCGGAAUAUUCUGCCGGUUAACUUUAACGCCCGAUUCCGUAUUUCGUGAACUCGAUUAUGAUUCUGGCAAUUGUCGAAAGUUGAAGUUUCAAAGUUCCUUGAAUUGUUAAUUGAAUUCGUAAUUUUAAUAGAAAUUUCGUGUUUUUUUUUUUUUUUAAGGCGCAAUUCGAAGCAUUUCGACGAAGAAAAAGAAAUCGAUGGAUUUUAAAGAGGAAAUUUCCGCAACGGAUUUAUUCGCCUUUACGAGUUUCCUUAUUUCCCGUAUCGUUAUCUUAUCUCUAUAUGUCUAUGGAAACAUUUUACGAGGAAAAAAUUAUCCAGAUAUUUUCACGAACAAAGAAUUCCUCUUCAACAUCUAUCGUCGAUUUUCUUUUCAAACUUGUUAUUGUGAGCUCGCCUUUGUAUUUAUUCUUCGUUGAAUCUUUCGUUCCCUUAUUGUCAAACAACUCGUGGAAACAAUCUGUCGCUUUCACUUCAGAAAUGCAAUUGCAACGAGUGAAACAUUGUCAAGGAAUUUUCUCUUCAAUUAUCGACUCCUUUAAUCUCGUCGGAUAUUAUUUUUCGUUUAGAAAGUUAUUCUUGUCUCCUAUUUCCGUUAUUUUCACGGUGACCGAUAAUAAACGUAAUAACGUAACGAGGAAUUAUUAUAUUAAUUUGUGACAAUAUUAUAUAUUAAUAACAAUUUAUUAGUGAAAGUAAAAUAUCUCUUUAAUUUUAAUAUAAAAAUAAUCUCUCGAAUUUUAAAGAAGAAUUCGAUCGAUCGUGCUUGAAAAUCGAAACAAAGGGAAGCUUCUUUCGAUCCAUUCCAGUUUAUCGAGACUGUAUUUUGCGAUCGAUCGACCGUGUCAAUUAUUUGUGCUUGCCGUGCAAACAGCAGACAGAUGCGCGUGGCGAGAACGACGAAGACGAAACGAGGAAGGCGCGUGACACACUCAUGACACGCUUGUGGCCACGCAUCGAGCAUUGUGCACUGGAAUCCGUCACAAAGCGGACGAACGCGACCCUCCUAGUGUUGAGCGCGUGUCUGAAACUCGGUGUACGCGUUUGGACACGGAGGAAAAUGGGUGGAAAAGUCGGGCUGAUUUGCGGCAGUUGCUGGUCCGGAAAGUACAAUACCUUUGGACUUCGUCGCGAUUUGCGCGUGUAAUUUCUAAUAAGUAUAACAACUUUUUGUCAUCAUGAAUUCGCCGCUUCCUCCUUUCACUGUAAAAUGAUUCUUAUAAUAUUGUGAUCUCCAAGAUGAAUAUAAUUUGGAAAUGUAUGAUGAAACAGGUAUGGAUAAACAGAAUUGAACGUGAAAGCAGAAUUUAGAAGUCAUGGCAAAGCAGUGAUUCGAAAAUAUGGACUGAACAAAUCUAGAGAUAUGAAAAAGGAGAAUGCAUGUUAAAAGGAGAAACUUGAGACAUCAACUUCAUCUUUCUUUGAACAAUUUUCGAAAAAGAAAUAUUUUUCUCCAAAGCAUUUAAGAGAAACUUUCUAAACAAAGACCUCGUUUGAAAACAGAGCACGCAUUCCAAACCUAUCUUGAUCAAUCGGUUCAUCAACGUCAACGUUUCACGGACAAAAUCGGAAUGAAAGGUCGUCACGUGUCAAAGCUGCUACGCUGAAUGCGAGAAAUGCAUCGAAAUGCCUAAAAAAAAAAAAAGGGAAAAAAAGGAAAGAGAAUCGUUUGAGAAUGGACCGCGGCAAAUUGUAGCCAUCUUUAAUGCACCGUCACGCAUUCCAUUCGCGAGAGAAAGAAUGUCGAGGAACCGUUCGCGACAUUCAAUCAAUUUUUCUAUUUAAUGUAUUCCAUUCCGAUGCAUUGAAGAAGAAUUUUCUUUUAAAGAAAAUGAACGUCAUCGUGCGUUCAUUGAUUAUGGAUUAAAUCGUUUGAUUGGUUUAGAAGAUAAAACGGAUCUGUCUUCAUCAACUCAAUUUAAUAUAUAAAGUUAUACGUUUCAACCGACAUUUUUGCAUAUCAAUUUUCAUAUUUGUUUUAUCUUAUGAGAAUCAAAUUAUAGUUUAAAUUUUGAAUUGCAAAGAUAGAUUGAUAUAACGAUUGAGACAUAUAUUUGAUGAAAAAAGUUGAAAGUAAAAUAAAUUUAUGUAAAAAUUUUCAAAGGAAGGAAAUGUGGAAAAUUAGGGGACUUGUAGAGUUUUCAACUCUGUAUUUCUUUCUCCAUCUUUUCCACGAUUUUUUUCCUCGUUCACAAAAAAACAAGGGAUGAAAUUUUCUACUCGAGCGCCGUCUGAAGUGGAGGACGAUAGGUCGAAGUGGAGAACAAUAGCUUAAAGUGAAGCUUUAAUAUGAUUUCUUAGGGACAACCGAGGAAAUUGAGUUUUUUAAGUGUGUAUCUUCGGUGUGGUCGAUAGAAAGUUGUUGAUUCUCCUUUUGUCCUGCUUCAGAUUUAUCCCGAUUUCUUCUGUUUUUCUUCCCUAAAUAGGUUCUCUUCGAAAUACAAUUUGUUUUAACGCAAUACUCGGUUGAAAGAAAAAAGCUUUCUUCUUUAUGCAAAAAAAUUUUCGACACACGUUUUUGUUAAAUAUUUAUAUUUACGCCAAUGAAAAGAAUAUAUAUGUGACU
rnacentral:lncRNA from 1 species